rnacentral:rRNA from 1 species
AGAGUUUGAUCCUGGCUCAGAACGAACGCUGGCGGCGCGCCUAAUACAUGCAAGUCGAGCGAGAAGACGUAGCAAUACGUUUGUAAAGCGGCGAACGGGUGAGGAAUACAUGGGUAACCUACCCUCGAGUGGGGAAUAACUAGCCGAAAGGUUAGCUAAUACCGCAUACGACUCUCGGUCUGCGGAUCGGGAGGGAAAGCGAUACCGUGGGUAUCGCGCUCUUGGAUGGGCUCAUGUCCUAUCAGCUUGUUGGUGAGGUAACGGCUCACCAAGGCUUCGACGGGUAGCUGGUCUGAGAGGACGAUCAGCCACACUGGCACUGCGACACGGGCCAGACUCCUACGGGAGGCAGCAGUAAGGAAUAUUGCGCAAUGGGCGACAGCCUGACGCAGCGACGCCGCGUGGGGGAUGAAGGUCUUCGGAUUGUAAACCCCUUUCGGCAGGGAAGAUGGAACGGGUAACCGUUCGGACGGUACCUGCAGAAGCAGCCACGGCUAACUUCGUGCCAGCAGCCGCGGUAAUACGAAGGUGGCAAGCGUUGUUCGGAUUUACUGGGCGUACAGGGAGCGUAGGCGGUUGGGUAAGCCCUUCGUGAAAUCUCCGGGCCUAACCCGGAAAGUGCGGAGGGGACUGCUCGGCUAGAGGAUGGGAGAGGAGCGCGGAAUUCCCGGUGUAGCGGUGAAAUGCGUAGAGAUCGGGAGGAAGGCCGGUGGCGAAGGCGGCGCUCUGGAACAUUUCUGACGCUGAGGCUCGAAAGCGUGGGGAGCAAACAGGAUUAGAUACCCUGGUAGUCCACGCCU